UACGUAGGGUGCGAGCGUUGUCCGGAAUUACUGGGCGUAAAGAGCUUGUAGGUGGUUUGUCGCGUUGUUCGUGAAAUCUCACGGCUUAACUGUGAGCGUGCGGGCGAUACGGGCAGACUAGAGUACUGCAGGGGAGACUGGAAUUCCUGGUGUAGCGGUGGAAUGCGCAGAUAUCAGGAGGAACACCGGUGGCGAAGGCGGGUCUCUGGGCAGUAACUGACGCUGAGAAGCGAAAGCGUGGGGAGCAAACAGG
rnacentral:rRNA from 1 species